GAUCAUGGCUCAGGAUGAACGCUAGCUACAGGCUUAACACAUGCAAGUCGUAGGGGGCAGCAUGGUCUUAGCUUGCUAAGGCCGAUGGCGACCGGCGCACGGGUGAGUAACACGUAUCCAACCUGCCGUCUACUCUUGGACAGCCUUCUGAAAGGAAGAUUAAUACAAGAUGGCAUCAUGAGUCCGCAUGUUCACAUGAUUAAAGGUAUUCCGGUAGACGAUGGGG
rnacentral:rRNA from 1 species